GUUGUAUGGUUAAGUGACUAAGCGUACACGGUGGAUGCCUUGGCAGUCAGAGGCGAUGAAGGACGUAGUAACUUGCGAUAAGCGUAGAUGAGGCAGUAACAGCCACUUGAGUCUACGAUUUCCGAAUGGGGAAACCCACUGGCAUAAGCCAGUAUCAUUGAGUGAAUACAUAGCUCAAUGAAGCGAACCGGGAGAACUGAAACAUCUAAGUACCCCGAGGAAAAGAAAUCAACCGAGAUUCCGAAAGUAGCGGCGAGCGAAAUUGGAUUAGCCCUUAAGCUUUACAUGUGUUAGACGAACGGUCUGGAAAGUCCGACGAUACAGGGUGAUAGUCCCGUAGUUGACGAUGCAUGUUCAGUGAAAUCGAGUAGGGCGGGACACGUGUUAUCCUGUCUGAAUAUGGGGGGACCAUCCUCCAAGGCUAAAUACUCCUGACUGACCGAUAGUGAACCAGUACCGUGAGGGAAAGGCGAAAAGAACCCCUGUGAGGGGAGUGAAAUAGAACCUGAAACCGUGUACGUACAAGCAGUAGGAGCACCUUCGUGGUGUGACUGCGUACCUUUUGUAUAAUGGGUCAGCGACUUAUAUUCAGUGGCAAGGUUAACCAUCUAGGGGAGCCGUAGGGAAACCGAGUCUUAACUGGGCGCCAUAGUCUCUGGAUAUAGACCCGAAACCGAGUGAUCUAGCCAUGGGCAGGUUGAAGGUUGAGUAACAUCAACUGGAGGACCGAACCGACUAAUGUUGAAAAAUUAGCGGAUGACUUGUGGCUAGGGGUGAAAGGCCAAUCAAACUCGGAGAUAGCUGGUUCUCCCCGAAAGCUAUUUAGGUAGCGCCUCGGACGAAUACUACUGGGGGUAGAGCACUGUUAAGGCUAGGGGGUCAUCCCGACUUACCAACCCUUUGCAAACUCCGAAUACCAGUAAGUACUAUCCGGGAGACACACGGCGGGUGCUAACGUCCGUCGUGGAGAGGGAAACAACCCAGACCGCCAGCUAAGGUCCCAAAUUACAGCUAAGUGGGAAACGAUGUGGGAAGGCUUAGACAGCUAGGAUGUUGGCUUAGAAGCAGCCAUCAUUUAAAGAAAGCGUAAUAGCUCACUAGUCGAGUCGGCCUGCGCGGAAGAUGUAACGGGGCUAAGUUGUAAACCGAAGCUGCGGCAAUGUUCUUUGAACAUUGGGUAGGGGAGCGUUCUGUAAGCCGUUGAAGGUGUGUUGUAAAGCAUGCUGGAGGUAUCAGAAGUGCGAAUGCUGACAUGAGUAACGACAAGGGGGGUGAAAAACCUCCCCGCCGGAAGACCAAGGGUUCCUGUCCAACGUUAAUCGGGGCAGGGUAAGUCGACCCCUAAGGCGAGGCCGAAA
rnacentral:rRNA from 1 species